rnacentral:tmRNA from 1 species
GGGGGUGUACAGGUUUCGACUUAGCAAUGGAACAUAAGUGGCAUGCAGAGGAUGUCAGUUGGCCUCUCAAAAAAUCUGGCGAAAUGAUAAAUGGCAAAUCAAACACGAUUGUCGAAGUUGAUUUUUCUCCAAGUGAAGAAAAAUUAGCUCAUGUAGCUUAAGACCUAACAGUCUUAGCAACUCGGUGACCUAGAGUGUACCAGGCAUUUUAGAAUCACUGUCAUAUUUCCUGGUUUGGAUCUAAAUUCAUUUACGCUUUUUAGAAUUCUGAUUCGAGACAUUAAAAAGGCGGGUUGCUUCCCAGUGGGGCACCUUCCAUCAGAAGCAACUGCGAAACUGAAGGUGAUAAGCAUGUAGUCAUUUAUGCUGAAGUUGGCUAAGGACGAGAGUUCGAUUCUCUCCACCUCCA